rnacentral:snoRNA from 1 species
UAAAGGCCAGGGACUUGUUAGUCAUGUAAGCAAGUCUCUCGUAAAAAUCAGGAAUAUUGACAGCAUCAUUCUUGGGUGAGCCUCUUGCCUUGCUGUGAUUGGAGGUUCAGUGAAUGAUGGUACAGUU